UAAGGAAUAUUGGUCAAUGGACGCAAGUCUGAACCAGCCAUGCCGCGUGAAGGAUGAAGGUCCUCUGGAUUGUAAACUUCUUUUAUCUGGGACGAAAACGGGAUUUUUAUCUCAAUUGACGGUACCAGAGGAAUAAGCACCGGCUAACUCCGUGCCAGCAGCCGCGGUAAUACGGAGGGUGCGAGCGUUAUCCGGAUUUACUGGGUUUAAAGGGUGCGUAGGUGGGCUUAUAAGUCAGUGGUGAAAUCUCCGAGCUUAACUUGGAAACUGCCGUUGAUACUAUAGGUCUUGAAUUAUCUGGAGGUAAGCGGAAUAUGUCAUGUAGCGGUGAAAUGCUUAGAUAUGGCAUAGAACACCAAUUGCGAAGGCAGCUUACUACAUAUAAAUUGACGCUGAGGCACGAAAGCGUGGGGAUCAAACA
rnacentral:rRNA from 1 species